GUGGGGAAUCUUCCACAAUGGACGAAAGUCUGAUGGAGCAACGCCGCGUGAGUGAAGAAGGGUUUCGGCUCGUAAAGCUCUGUUGUCGGGGACGAAUGUGCAGUAUUUGAAUAAAGUACUGUAAUGACGGUACCUGACGAGGAAGCCACGGCUAACUACGUGCCAGCAGCCGCGGUAAUACGUAGGUGGCAAGCGUUGUCCGGAAUUAUUGGGCGUAAAGGGAGCGCAGGCGGGAAGGUAAGUCGGUCUUAAAAGUGCGGGGCUCAACCCCGUGAUGGGAUCGAAACUAUCUUUCUUGAGUGCAGGAGAGGAAAGUGGAAUUCCUAGUGUAGCGGUGAAAUGCGUAGAUAUUAGGAGGAACACCAGUGGCGAAGGCGACUUUCUGGACUGUAACUGACGCUGAGGCUCGAAAGCCAGGGGAGCGAACGGGAUUAGAAACCCGAGUAGUCC
rnacentral:rRNA from 1 species